GGGGUGCAGGGGCCGCGGCCGGGAAGGGGCAUCAGAUCGUCCUGACCAAGCUCACCCGGACGGAGCUGCUGGAGUACAAAGUCCGACAACUGCUGCUCGCCUUGCAGCGCAGGGACGUCAUCUACAUCUUCAGCUUUUUAGAGGAUUAUCGUACAUUCGCCACCACGGACGAGGUGCUGGACCUGCUGUUCACCGAGUAUGGGUGCAUCGCAGAUGCGUGGGGUAACAACGAUGUGGUCCUGCAGUGCUGGAAACUGUGAGUGACUCCGGCUCCUGCAGGAGGGCCUUCCCUCUCCUGGAGGGCAGCGAAGGGGCUGUGGGGCGGUGGGGGC
rnacentral:lncRNA from 1 species